CGUGGGACCAGGAAGUGCCCUGGUUUGGCUUGGGAAGAUGGCAGCAGGUAAGUCUCUGUGUGUUUGUGUGUUUGCAUGGCAUGUAGCCGCAGAGUGUGCACUCUCGAACGAUUACAGCGGGGAGAAAAGAGUCAAAAGAGACAGUUUGUUGAAGUGCAGGACCGCGGGGAACGAAUGCGCUCCGUGCGCACUCCCGGCACCGGAGAGAGACUCGCGCGCCGGUCAAAGAAUGACAGAGCGUUUAAUGGCGCCCCAUCACAAUUGAGAAAGGGGGUUUGUGCUGAAUAAAUAAGACUGCCCGACAGCCGCGUUGAACCAAUUUGUAGAAAGUAGUGGACAUGUUGAGACAGAGGCAUUGCUUUCCCUCUCCGCUCUCAGUGGAUAUAGAGAUUCAUGUUAUAUAAAUAUGAAUGGCAUCCACAUUGAAUCAGGCCUCUCAAGUUUUGAACUAAGCUUAGAGUGAGAUUUUCUUUUUUGUUGCAGAUAAUAUAUCUGCUAAUAAAUACAACAGACUUUGACUUUGAUAUUACUACGAGACUAAAGCCAUUGUACAUGAGAAUAAAGUCAUUAUUUAUGAGAAUAAAGGUAUUAUUUUAUGUAAAGUUACCUGUUGUGGAGGAGAGUUGUUCAAAUGAGGGCUUUGGAGCAUUUAGAUGAAUUUUACUUUAGUAUAGGUUUCACAAACAUGGAUAUACUUGAUCCUUUGGUACAUCAGCAUAACAUUGUCAUGAGUAUCAGAACUUUAAAAAGUAUGUAUGAGAACAGCAUCUUUUCCAGAGAAAAAAACACAAAACAAAACAGGUGGACUUUGAGGGAAUCAUUGCUUUUGUGGAGGGGAAAAUGGCUGGAAAUGGCUGCACAGAGGCUAAAUCUGUCAAUGCAGCUGUUAAUAGCAAUAGCAUGGGGCUUUAGUUUAUCAUAUUAGUUUAUAUGCCAUGAGGUGUUGAGGCAGGUGUAGGUCACUGACUUACUGUAACCAUCAGGUCUUUUUCGUCCUUAUGAAACCUGCUUUAUCUCAGUGAGUGUCCGUUUUCUUUUGUAAGCAAACCAUGGGAUAUCAAAAUCCACAGGGACACAGCAAUGCCACUUUUUGAUUGGUUGUUAUGUAGAUAUACUUUAUUUGAUUGGCUUGUGCGUGGCACGCAGCUUUUGAACUCUCUUGGGAACUCACUUGAUUCCUACCUGUUCUGUUGUUUAAGAGGUGCAACUUGGUGGGUGUCACCAUGGUAAUUUAAAUGCGUGAGAGAUACAAUGUGUGGCGUGUGGGUGUGUGAACGGGUGGGAAUGCGUAUGUCACGCUGAAUGCAUGAGACUUGAGAGCCCUGUUGAAUCAUUUGACUCAUUAAGCAAAGAACAUCAGGAACAUGUACUAUUUAUACCAUGCAACAUCACUUCAUAGCACAUUUGGAACCCUCCUCCCUAAUAUAAUCUUAAUAUGUUUUUUUUUUAUAUGUUUUGGCACAUUUCAAUUACCCCUCUCGCAAAUCACACAACCGCAGUCAUGUCCCCUGAAAAACAAUCUUUGGACCUUCAAUUGCACACGACCUUUGACACACCCGACAAAAGGAGAAAAAAAAUACCUCAAAUCAUGUCGGAUACUGUUUCACAUCCUUUUGCUGGAGCUGUUCUUUUGAUCUGGAAAGUACAGCAAAAUGGUGCAAACUCUGCAGAGUAAAAAUGUUCACCCUUGGGUGAGGGUUGAACCUAGACAAAACUUGAGAAAAUGUUUAUUUAUUUUUAUUUUGCUGGUUGUUUAAUUCAUCAGGCAACAAACAGCUGUUACAGAUCCAAAGUUUAGCAAGUACAUGCAAAUAAAUCCUAAACUACCUUUUCUUGAUGCUCCCUCACAGUUGCAUAAGCUAGAGGUCAUGGCUCGAACCACUGUUUUCAUUAAACCAAAUGUUAUUCAGAAAUUAUGCUUUCGUAUUGCUGAAGCUGUGUUUGAGGAGGAGGCGCUUUGGCAGCUGGGUUGAUUGUCAUUCACUCUGUUUCCCAGAGGUUAGAAUUAAACAUGUGAAGGGAUCACCAGGCAGCUGAUAAUUUACAGGCAAAUUAAUUACAUUUGCCUACAAGGUAUUAGGAAGGAUAGACCUUUCAAUAUGGUAAACAGCUGGUGGGCGGCGCAUCUUUGCAUUUACUUUCAAAGGUACAGGGUUAAAUCAUGAAAGAUCCAAUUAACCUGUGCUGCCACAGGUCUAAGUUAGAAAAACAAAUUAGAGUCAGGAACACAGUGUCAUUUAGAAACCGCUGUGAAAAUAUGCAACUUAAAAACACGCUGUGCUCUGAGUUUAUGCAGCAGUUACAGGCUUUGAGACUAUAACUCAUUAAAUAACUCCAGUAAUAAAAUUCUUUGAGUUGAAAACAGCAUUAAAUUUUAAUUCUCUCCCUUUCUGUUAUUGGCAGCACUCAGUGACUCAGAGGGGAUAAACAUAACAGUGGAUCUAUGAUAAAAGAGUGUUAAAGCAGCAAUCAUUUUGAGCUUAUGAUGAUAAAAUUUAACGCAGGAAUGAAGAAAAAUACGGUCGAACUCAGAUCAAUGCACAGGCCUGCAGACUGUGUCCUUUACUGAAGUCUAGCUCGUGUUUUGCAGGCCGUUUUCUCUGCUUUCAGACGCGCACCUUUAGUGCAUAUUUUAUGGAUGUGCUCAACAGAUCUGCACUCAGUCCCGAGAGCCUGCAGCUUCUGUUACCCCUGAGGUUGCCACGGGGACAGAUGUUCAUGAAAUCUUAGCAGGUGUUAGUACUCCCCUCUGAGAAACUCUUUUUUUUCGAUGGAUCAUCCAUAGCUCUGAUUUCUCUCACUUAAUACACCUGCUUUGUCUCACUCGACUCCUGAACCUUCACAGCAGCGUCAGCAGACAGAUAUUGUUUUAUCGGUCUUCACACGGCACAGAUCCAUAAGGAAAAACUCCCGUCUAUCUGAGCUGAAUAUGAGUUUUGAAACAUUUCAGAUAAAUGUCCAAGGGUUUUAAUGCCAGUAGCCAAUAAAUAAUGAAGCAUAAUUCCCUUAAAGAUUUAUUACCACAAACACAAUUAAUCAAUUUACCUGUAUACAUAAUGAGUUUACAGUAAAGAGGAGCAGGAAGAGACAGUUCCUCAAAUAAACCCUGAGGCACUUUUCAUACGUGUUGCAUCUGUACUGUUUUAUAGAUUUUGUAGUUUCGGCUUUUAAAACCAAAUUUUAAGCUGAGUUUCUGACUUCAUCGGCACGAAUAUAUUUACAUUUGAAAACAUUUUUAUUGACCUUUACUUUCAUUUGUAUUCUUGCAGAUAUUCACACUGUUUUGGAAAGUGAUAAUGUCUCAUAUUAGCACAACACAAAAGCAGAUUUUAGCAAUUGUUUGAUUUAAUGUUCCACCUACAGUUUGGGUUAAAAGCAGAAAGCUAUGCAAAACUUUUUAAAAUCAUCCUGUGAGGAACUUUCAGCCCGUGUCGAUUUUGGUGACAAGAAGACACUAGGGCUGCCCGAUUGAUCUGUUUGAAUCGUCAUCGGAUUAUUUGAUUAUGACGAUGUUAAAAAAAUUUAAAUCGUCAAAUCGAUUUUUCUCUGGUUAGUGUCUCGUGCCUCCAGGUCACUGUGGGCUCCCCCUUCCUGCAGGAGCGCUCCCCAGUUCCCACUCACAGCAGUGUAAACAAACAUGGCUUUUGCAAAAGAAGACGAUAAUUUCGUGGCUAAAUAGGGCGAGAGCAAGUCAGUCGUGUGGAAUUGGUACGAUUUCGCAGUUUUUGGAUGAAGAGCAAACCACUCCCCGCUGCAAUGUCUGUCUGAAGGCAGUAUCAACCCGUCCACAAAGAAGUGUCUUCAGGAGUAAACGCAAAAGCUUUUUGUCUUAUUGCGUUUCAUCCACACAGAAAUGGCGUUUCAGGUGACUGUAAAUGGCACUUUUUGAAAACAGGUCAUAAAUCCGUAAAUGACUAUUAUUUCAUCUCUGUGUGGAUGCCUACAUCGUCUCUCGAAAUGAUUAUGUGACUCAUAGGUUAACUAUUUUGUGGCGCAUGUCCAGCCUAAACAACCUUUAUACGCAUUCUCUGUACUCUUCUUCUGUCUUUUGUGCAUUUCCUCUGCAGCGUUACAGUGCCAUUUACUGGCUUGGCAUAUGCACUUCAUCGUUUUCAGUGGUUUCUUUUUGAGAGAUGAUAGAAAAACGUAAUAUUAAAGUGAAGUUUGGAAAGUUGUCACUGAAUAAAAUUGAAAUUGAAAUUUAAUUGAGUUUUCAGAGAAAAAAAUCUGGAUUUUAUUUCUGGCCGAAAUUGUGCAGCCCGAGAAGACACUAUGUCAUGCAUGAGUGGUGUAUAAAUCCUUCCUAAGACAUACCAUAAGUAGUAUUCACCUAACAAUGUCAUAUAUAGUGUCUCAUUCUUAGAUACUACAAGCAAAAACAAGCCUUAAACUGAUUGUAAUGAGUAAAAAUAGUCACCAGUGCAAAAGGUAAAACUGGAUCAAGUUUCUCAAAACUGCAGAAAACAUCACAUUCAGGCAAUUUUUGUCUUCAAAUCUUGCAGAGAGAUUUUGUGUUUGAACUUAAUAGAUCGAUGUAGCAAUACACAGUUCUUACGGGCAUGGCCUCCUUUUUGUUUGUUUUGUUUUGUUUGUUUUGCAAAGUCUCUGUUGUUAAAAAAAUGACCUUAUUCUGAGUCACUUUCAUUUCACCAGUUGUGUCGUUGUUGUCCUUCUUCCUGCAAGUGUCCCUCCCUUUUCUGUGCCAUGCAGGAGAAGACAGAAACGGUCAGGGUUAGAUUAGACAAAAUUUGAUUUGUUACACAAGGAGAGGAACGUUUUACUAAUGCUUAUUGUAAAUUCAGUGCCCAAGAAGUGUUUCUAAACGUUACGACAGGGGCAUGUUGACCAUUGUGUUGCAUCAGUCCUUCUUUAACAACAUUCUGUAAAUGUUUGGGAACUAAGACUUAUGUCUGGAGUUUUAAAAGUGAAGCGUCUUCUUGCGUUCUUUGGUAUUUCAGCUGCUGCAGUCCUCGGUCUCUCUUGUCAUAUUUGCUUUGUUGAAAAAUUGCUGAAACUUGCAGUCUUCCUGCAAAAGGCAUUGUUUCGGUGGCAACAUAUUUUGCUUUACAACCUGUAUGUCCUGUUCAACAUUAUUGGAGCCUCUUAGGAUGUUAUGAACAUAGUCUAUCCCUGUGCCUUUACAGGUUAGCUUUUGAGCUGCUGUGCUAAUAUCGAGCUGGUUGUCCUUUCUUGUCCGUGAUUUCCAAGAAAAAUGUCAAAUUUUGAUUGGUCAGACCUCCGGACAGUUUUCACUUUGCCUCAGUCCACUACAGACCUUUCAGGCCCAAAGAGGUCAUUUAUGUUUCUGUUGCAUAUUUCUAUUGAUUUCUCUAUGCAUGGUGUAGUCACACUGUAUUUGUGGUUGCGGGGUGUGUGGAUUUUGGUAGUGAUUUGAGCAAAUGCAGAGACUUCCACUACAGAGAGCCAUGCCUGUUUUUAAUCUGAUGCCUUUUGUAUUGAGGAUGAAAUUGAAACUUUUCGUGAAGUUAUGUUAGGGCUGGGCGAUAAACCGAAAAUUUACCAAUACCGAAAUUUACGACAAUAACUGACAUCAUUUUGCCCAUGUCAGUAUAUUCAGUGCCCAAAAAAUAAAUAAAUAGAAGUUGGUUUUGGAUGUGUGUAGGUAGGCUAUAGUCUCAUGUCCCUUAAAGACGCUGUCCUACGUCAGAGACAUGACCCCACCCCAUCCAGUCUGUAACAAAGAGGGAAAGUCAGGUGAGGAGAUGAAGGACAGUUUAAAAGUUGUAGCGGCUGGAGCGGCAGCUGAAGUAGACGAAGUAGUUAUUAUCCAUUUAUUGCUAUGAAGGUGAACUGCUCAACAUAUUGUGAUAUUGAUUUGAGGCCAUAUCGCCCAGCCCUAUAUUAUGUACUCUCUUUGUAUUUUUAUGCUGUAGAACAUUGUUCCAAAACUGUAGAACUUUUUCAACCCAGUCAUGUCAGUAACCUGUUGUAAAUUAAGUUGAUGUGCAGGGAAAAGUUCCUCCACUUUUGAGUAAAGUUCAUGUUACUAUGGUUACGUUGCCGUGCAGGACCUCAUAUACAGUUUACAUCCUCUUAUUUUAUACCCAAAUUUGCAUUUUUAAUCCCACAAAAUCCCCCGAAACCAGACUGAACAGCUUCUUGCAUACGCGCCUCAGCAUCAAAACAGUGUUUUCUCUCCUUGUUUCUAUUUCUUAAAUUGUGUUUUGCUCUCUCAUCGCUUCAGUCUAAAAUUACAUGCAGCCAUCUGUUGCAAAUUACUUUCCCAAAAACAAUAUUGUACUGUAGACGAUUCAGAUUGAAAUAACAUAUUUUAAGGCUGGGACUCAUAAUAUUGAUGUAUCUGUGUGUCCGGGGUUAUUUGUAAGUACGAGUGGAGGAAUGCAUGUAAUUCAAAGGGUUUCUCUUAUAUCUCACUUUCAUUAUUUUUUACUGUGGGAGAGGUUUCGGUUUACAAACUUCUAGAUUGAAAACAAUGUAACACAACAGCAGAUCUUACCCUUUCAGAAUGAAAUCUUUCUGUGCAUUUUCUAAGCAGACACAUAAAAAAGCCUUUUCUGUAUCUUUGCUGUAUUUCUCAUGUUAAAUAACUUCAGUGAAAGCUGUGCGUAUCCUUGAGAGAGGACAAAAACUGUUAGCUGCUGUUAGCUCGCAGAGAGGGCAUCAGUACAGCACAAUAAGUGUUUUUGAUGUGAUGUCUUUCUAUAUACUUCCCCAUUUUCUACAUCUUCAAAUCUGCAAAUUAGCUAUGAAUAUGUAUGAGUAACUCUGUGCUUGUGAUUAGUGUGUGAGCGCUGCACUAAAUGGCUAUUGUGUAAGUGUGUUAUCCUCCCUCAGAGUUUAGCAAAGGGCCUAACAUGAGGGGUUUUUUGUUUGCAAGUGUGACACAUAAUUCAGUGAUCAAAAAGGCGUUUUUUUUUUAAUGUAUUUUUCUGAGGGAGACAAAGCAAAAGUAGUGGAAAGAAAGGGCAAAGAGUUACAGAGGAUAUUCACAAAUUGUCUGCUCUGACCGGGUUGUCAGAGAGCUUGGUAGAAAAAGGAGAGGGAGUAGGACGGGGUGGAGUGGAGUUGAGGGGUUUUUUUUGGAUGAAAGUAUUAAGAUCAGAAAAGCAGUUUUGUAAUUGUAUUUUCCUCCAUAUCCAGCAGCUACCACUGCAGGAGGCAUUAAGCUGCACAAAGGAAAGCAGAGGGGAGCGUUUCUUCAAAAAGAUGUUGGGUCAGCGGAGAAUUCUAAUGACUGAACUCCAGAGAGUCUGAAUUUUUUAUUUCUGAGCUUUCUUUUUCAGCAGGAAUCCAUGUUGUACAAAAUAUAACCGUAAACCUUUAUGUGGAAUAAAUCUAGGCUGUGCGAAAACAAACUGCAUCACUUUCUCCUUUACAAACACUCUGUUUUAUUCAGUAAGAUGAAUUUAAACUUUUAACACCCUGAAAUCAAUUUUUCAGAACAUUUCACAAGAAAUGAAUUAUUUCCUGCUCAUGAUUCCUUCAGUUUUGGAUAAGUUUAAUAAUUCCUGCUACUAAAACUCUAUUUGGCAUGUUAAAUAUUUAAUCACUAGCAAUAUGUAGAUUUUGUAAUGAUGAAGAGGGGAGCAGAAACUGUAAUGUUGUUGAAGUUUGUGGGCCAGUACAACCAUAAAUAAAACUUGAAUAAAUCAGCAUUCAUCAAAAAGGUAAUGAUAUUUGAUGACUGGAUACAGAACAAUAAAUAUCCUUGUCUUAUCGAGUAUUUAAAUCUCAAGCAAAGUUAAACUAAAAUUAAGUUGUUUUCAGAUUUUGGAGAAAACAGUAAAGUACUCUAUAAAACUUUCUGACUUUACACAUUUCACUAAUGUAGAGAAUUCUUCUCUCUGUUAAAGCUCCAGGUUUUUUAAUGUCUAUGAAAUAACCGAAAAUUCCCAUGAUGACUUUUUGUGAUAUACAAUAGCAGGGAUUUUCAUAUGGCAAUUUUUAAUGACUGAAACUGGUGCGAGGGUGUAGGUGUCAGCCGAGCAGCUGAAGAAACAGCCCUGUUUUUACAAUUUACUGUACAAAAUAUUGAUAAUAAAUUACUUAUUUGACCAUCAAAAGUCAGCAGAUUAAGAUUUUUUGUGACAGACAUGGUGAGCAAAGACUGUUUGUCUACAGGGGGCGCCAAAUUUAACACAAACUGAAAGUUCCUUACAGGAGCCUAAGUCGGAGUCAAGCCCCAAGUUUCAAGACUCAUGACUUAAUAAUACUUAAGCAUUGAUGGCCGGAACUUGGGCUCAGACUUGAGUAUUGAUUCCACUGGACUGAGAAAAUGGAGACUAGGGGCUCUAUUUUCGUGUCCACUGGUGAGGCGGUGGAGGGUGGCAGACUGCGCACUGGUAUUUUCGUCUGGCGGAGCCCGGCGUACAGCUAGUUUGGUAUUUUCGUGGACUGAGGUGCACAGAGGUCCGCCAAGCUGGGCGUGGUAGGGGGAGGUGUCGACAGGAUCAGCUGAUGCAGUGACAUUUUCAUGCUCGCCGCCGGCGUAUUAAGUGUGCUGAAAGCUCGCUGAUUCAAACCAGGUCAGCUUUCAGCGCGGGCGGAGCGCAGCUGGUCUAGAGGUAUUUUGGUAGACCGGCGGCGUAGUGUGCAUACGUUACUGAUGCCUCACUAGCAGGUUUCCACAGUGUCAGGCACAUUUCAGUGCAAUAAAUAUUCAACAACAAUUAUUAAUCUAAGUCAGCACAUACAUUUAGAUCUAUAUCCAUAUAUUCUGAUCUAUAUCUGAUCUGAUGAGUGCAUUAGCACACGUUUGGACACACAACCUGACUGAAUCAACACAGCUGAAACUGUGUGAAAUUAAAUAUCUAGUAAGUAGACACACACGAUGAAGUGAACAAAAUAUGUAAUUCGUCUCCCGCCUUUUCUUUCUUCCUCUUCCUCUUAUUUCUCGCGCAGCUCGACCUGGACAUGUCUCCUUGUCCUCUCCCCGUCCUGCUGCAGCUGCUGCUGCGGCGGCUGGACAGAUGAUUUGUUUCAGUGAUCAGAUGAGUUAUUUUCUUUAAGCCGACAUACGGAUAUUAUAAUAUUCAGUUUUGUGGGCCAAAUUUAUUUUAUAUACCAACAUCUAUGAAAGAAAGAGCCAGGCCACGGAGCGCGAUGCGUCAUUUACGCACAGAUGGUUCCAAUUUUAAUGCCAUUUUUGGAGUUUAUGUUGUGAUCUGUGCGCUCAACCCACCUUUGUCACGUGAGGUAUGAAUAUAUGCAACUUUAUGUGAGUGUCUUUAUUUGUGGAAAAGGGUGUUUGUCUUACCACUGGGUACAACAUUACACACACCAAAUCCAUCUGUGCUCAUAUGAGAGAGUGUGAAGAACGCCUUCUGCCCUCUGUCGCCAUCGUGUGGCAUUGUUGUCUUCAGCCAUCUCUUGAUCUCUCUGACUACUUCACGAAAAUAGUAAUACGCCUCGCCGGUGGCGGAUUUAAAGGCGAGGAGAGGAGCUUAUGUGAUUGGUGAAUACAGGUCUCGGCUGCGUUAAAUCCACUCCAUGCCUUCUCUCCUCCCUCCCUACGACUUACGCCGCUGGGAGGAGCUGAGUUAGGGAGGGGGGAUACUUACGCCGGGCUGCGCCGCUCACCAAAAUACCAAAUUGUGCUUGGGAACGCCUUGUCGCGCAGCGGACCUGACUUACGCCGCGCAUGCGCCGUAUCGCCGGCGAGGCACGAAAAUAGAGCCCUAGGACUUGGGCCUUGAGAUUGGUUAUUCUUACACUUACUUACAUGUGUAAAAAAACAUGGAAUAGACGAGGAAAGCUCUAGUAUUCUCAAAGAAAUGUCAAUUGUGGCAACUUAAGUGACUUAGCUGUUGAGUCUAAGUUGUCCAACUGAUCUGUAGACGUAUUUACCCACAAUACAUUUCGCUGUAACAUUGACUUCACUAAACUCCACGCACACUAACAGGAUGAGUCUGUUGUUGCUGACUUGAUUGUUGAUAAAUGAUAUGGGUUUUCUACAUCUCCAAGUGGCCCCUUGGAUCCACAAGGGUCACUGCAACAAUGCAAUCUAUGCUCGUUCAGAACCGGCUGCAUCUAUACUUAGCUCUCUCUAUGCUACAUCGGCUGUCCUCUGGGUAAAAUGCAAUACUGGUGCUGCCUAGUCCUGUAGUACCUUUUUUUUCUUUCUUUUUCCAAAUGUAGUCCUAAUAAAAUAAAAUAAAAAAGAAGAAGAAGAAUUUACUACGCUUGCUUUCAAUGCCAUUUCUGCACUUGUGCAUAUCUGCUUUAUUUUUGGUUGCCACCAUGUCUGGUGGAGACAGAAGCAGCAUCUGUUAGAUUCUGUAAUCCAUCCAGAUUUUAGCCCUGAGAGCAGCUGCUGCAGGACUCUCCAUGAGAGGGUCUGCAGGAGAGGAAGGGAAGGAAGAGGAAAAAGAAAGAUAAGGAGGAGAGUAGAUGUAUGCAGAGAAAAAAGAAGAGGAUGUAACAUGAAGGUAGUUUCGUCUUGCGGUUGGUCCUACAGCUUUGGUUUUGCUCAGAAGUGUGGGAAACACUCACACGAUCGAUGUGGUAUAAGUUUGUACUCCUCAAUAUGGCAGAUGCAGAAAAGUCACGGCGAUCCAGCACACUUGUGUCUCUAAACACUAGGAUGUGUGUCUGCCGCCACACCAGCUGUCGUGGUCAUUACAAGGUGGCGGCAGUGCCAACCUCUUGGUCGGCCAGCAGCUGCCUUAGCAAUGUGGAUCUCUGAGAUUAAGGCCGGCUCCAAUCUGCUCUGAUCUGUUCGAGGAAACAGAUGAUGAUGAAGGGACAAACAACCAGAAUCAGAGAUAGCCCCGACUAAUCCAGGCAGCCAUCGCAUCACGCACCACAAGUCAUCACAGGAAAUUGCUGCAAGUGCUGCAAACACCAGCAUGAAGCCAUGAGCAAUGUGUUCCUGGUUAAUUUCACACGUCUUUGAGAGUAAUUUUAGGGGAUAGAAAGCUAUUAUUGCACCUGCUGUCAGAGAGGAAAUGUGUAGGGUAGCCAUUUAUCUGGGAUAAAUUGUUUUUACAAGCCCAGUUGAGUCCCUAUCUGAUCAUGAGGAUGUUUAAGGGCAGAAUUAAUGGCUCCUGUAUUCCAUUUGUGUUUCCCUUUUCAUUGUAUUAGUGUAUUUUCAUCUCUCUCUGUUUCCCAUUGUUUAAUAUCAAACAAAAUCAAGGAAUCAUUAAAUCAUGAUUGAACUCUCUAAAUUUAAUAUCAAAUGCAGGGUGGGUGUGAUGAGACUUGAGCAUGUUGUGUGUUUUUUCUAGACAAAGCUGAAAAUGAAUGUUUUUUGUUUUUUUUGUUUUAACGAGAUAAAACAUUAGAAAGUUCUGUAAUGCUAGGGAAAAACACACAGAGGCACAUCUGUCAGCCAAAUAAGUGCAUUUACAGGUUUAAUAAAGGUGUUUGUUAGGGGUGGGAGAACAAAUCGAUACAGCAUAGUAUUGCGAUAUUUUGUCUUGUGAAAUAGUGUAUCGGCUCAUUUACCAAAUAUCAGGUUUAUUUUCUAAAUUAAUUGUUACCAUGGAAUCAAAUCUAUGAUAAUGGAAAAAUAAAAUCAACUGUUUGUCCAGUGAGGUUGGCAGAGGUGACAUCAGAGAGCAGGAGAAAAAUAGUGCAACAAAUAGAGCAGGACCUGGGGAAAGACAUGAGGAAUGCAAGCAGUGCACAAAGGAGAUGAGAGUGGUCUAGACCGGCUCUUUUUCUUUCGAAAACGUCUUGGGAUGACGACUGUUGUGAAUUGGUGUUAUAUAAAUAAAAUUUGAUUUGAUUUAAAUUUGACCUGAAACACAAGGUUUGUAAGAUGUGUUACAUGAAAAUAAAAUACUGUGUAAUUAAGACAAACAUAAUGGAAAGACAAAUGCGAAAUUAGCUAAACAGGUGAAAAAAUCGUAUAAAUCACGAUAUAUUGUAUUGCAAUACUCACUGUAUUGCAAAAUGUUAAAAAUCGUAUCGUGGCCCAAGUAUCGUGAUAAUAUAUCGUGGGGCCAAUGAUGAUUCCCACAAACAAUGUUUGCCACUCUGUGAAGGACUGUGUGAGAAAAUGGUUCAAAUUUUUCCAUGAUAGUGUUACUCCUAGAAACUUUUACCGGGAUUUCAUCAUCUACAGUAUACAACAUCUUCUGAGAUUCUAAAGAAAUGUCAGUACAAAGGAAACAAGACCCUAAAAUCAACACUAGCAGCUGUGAUCUCUGAGCCCUAAAGUGGCAUAACAUUAAAUACAAGGGAUGUCCUGAUACAAUAUUGAUAUCUGAUAUCGGUCUGAUAUCAGCAAAAAAUGAACAUUGGAUUGUACCGGCCUCCAUCAAAAAUCUCCAAUAUCAGCACUCCGAUACAAGCAGUCCAUUCCAGACUCCACUCCAGCACCAAUAUCUAGCAGCACCCCGAUCCAGCAUGCAGAGUAAGUAGUAAGGAGUAAGAGUGAUGUCGGCUGCCAGGCAGUAUUUUGUUUCAGUCUGAAAAAGACAUUUCAGCUGAGUGAAAAACUUGUCAUGCACAAAUUUGUGCCAAAAUUGGAUCAAUAUCUGUAUUGGUCAAUAUUGAAGGCUACAAUAUCGGUAUCGUAUCAGAAGUCAAAAAGUUGUAUCAGCACACCCCUAUUCAAUACAGGCAUGUCUCUGUAGUGGGAGUCACUGCAUGCGGGCUCAAAACCAGAAACAUCAAAUGAAAUCCCAAAACCACUGUUUGGAAAUAAUGGACACCGAUGGUUUCCCUGAUUCCUUAAAGUAAACAGAGUGUCGGUAAGAGUAGAGGGGGUGAAACACAUGUCUAGGGCAAAUGCUUUUCAUAAAACAGAAACUUUUUCUGCAUUUUCACUUUUUUUUCAUUUAAAUUUGGGGUUUUAAAUAAUUUGCAGACCAUUACAAUCUGUUAACACAGUGUCCCAACUUUUUUGAAAAUCAGCUUAAAGAGAAAAAAAAACUCCACUGUAAUGGUGGUUAUUGAUGUUAAAGUCACUGCGAUCCCCAGUUGACAUCAUUUGACUCUUUGCAUUCAGUCCCAUUUUCACAUUUUUUUUAGUGAAAUGCUUUAUUUGAACCAACAGCUUGGCAGCAUCAGCCACAGCCUGCAUUUUCAUUCAGAAACAAUAUUAACUAUCAGCUGUCUCUCACCUCCUCUGAAAAAAGAAAAGAAAGGAAAAAAAAAAGCACCCGGGCUCUUCUCAUUUAAGUCCCUGGCUGCUGUUUUGUCAGAGAGCGGCACUAUAUCAACUUUCCGAGCAGAGUCAUCACACAGCGUUUCCUGCAUAAUGGCUUUGGCAGCAGGCAGGAUGAGAUCUUCACUUUAACAGUGUGUGGUUUUUGUGUGCGGGGAAUACGAUAUAGCUAAAAAGGACACCUUCAGUCACUCUGGGAAAGUUGUUUUUUGCUUAUAAGCAGUAAAACAAUUCAUCUGACCCCUUAUUUGUCUUUGCGGUAUAGGAGGGUGUAUUAUUUCUUUAUAGUUUAAAGCUUUGUUCUGGAUUUGUGCUUUUUGUUUCUGCAGCUAGGACAGAAUCCUUUGAUAUUUUGAGUAUCUUUGUCCACCAUUUUGCAAAAUAGGAGAUAAAACUCCCCAGAAUCCUGAGCCAGUGCAUGCACAGCUAUAGUCACAUGUGCAUCUGUGUCAUGAGUUCCUGUCUAGCUGUCAGCCUGGUGCACCUGACAUGUCAGAGGAAGCGGAAUAAUUAAUUCUACUUUAUGCAAAUGAGAAAAGAAACAUUUUUAAUUGAAAAUCUGCCCAUAAAGUCAGCGUCUAGAUAGAUAUCGAAUGAGGAAACUUAAUUAUGGAUGCACACAUGCAGGGUCACCUUCACCAAAACUGAUGAAAUAUGAAUUCCCCUCUUUUGGCUGCUAUGUUUGCUCCCACAGAAGGGCAUUAAAGCAGGAUGCAGAGGGGAAUACUAACAAGACGCAGGGGCUGAGAGCACACGCAGGAAACGAGUGCAGAAAUCAAUCAAAACUCAGCAAGACUGAAGCCUGGUCAAUUUUAAAUACUGCUGGAUGCACAGUUGUCCGCUUUGACACCCUUAAUGCAGCAGAUCCCACAACAAAUCAGAAGAGUUUAAUCCUGCUCAGUAGUCUCAACUCGCUCAAUCGCCUCCGCACACACACGAAAAAAAAAAAACACCGAACACAGAUGGCUCGUGGUCAUGAGACACCGUGGAAUCAGCUGUUACUUGUGCAAAGGGUAAAAGUUCAGUCUUGCCUGACACUAAACCCUGCUGGGAUCAAAAUAACAGGAGGACCAGAAGUGGACACAGAGAGGACUAAACAAACACGUCUGACGCUUUAUUUAUAGCCAAUUCACUCGUUCACAGAUUAGGAAGAUUAUUGAACAAACUCUACGGUGUAAUAAAAACAUCUAAUAUGAAUAAGAUCUUCAUAUUAAAUCAUGUGGAGUAAGUUCAGAGUAAAGAGGUUUUCAUUGAUGUGAAUAUUUAGGGAUAAAAAAUGUAUGAAUGAGAAAUCCCCACUGGGCACAUGGAGAGUCUGAUAUUUACCUGGAUGGGGAGCAGAGCUGAGGGGGGUAAUCUAACAAAUAUUGAUCCUGAGAUGAUCUGAAGCUAAUAGAGGAGCUCUGUUAAUAAAGCAGAGGGUGAGCAGGGAGCCAGUCAGCCUGAUGAGGAGAUAAAAGGCUCUUCACUUUAGUCAAACACCAGUUUUUCAUGAAAUUAUUAUGACCUCAUACAUUUUCUUUUUUCUUCUUUUUAUUGUUUUUUUUUUUUUCUGGAUUUAUCCCAGAUUUUGUCUUUCUUUCUUUUUCAUUUGUUUAACUUUUUUGUUCUCUCCUUUCUUUUUUCUUUCUUUCCUUUCUUCGUCAUUUCUUGUCUUUCUGUUUAACUUUCUCUUUCCUUCUGUCCUUCCCUUUUCCUGUCUUUCUUUCAUGCUUUUAUUUUCCUUGUCUUUUUUAUUUUUUUCAUCACUUUUUCUUGUCUAACUUUUCACACCUUUUUGUUUUUUUCCUUUCUUCCUCCCUGUUUUUCCUCCUUUUUUCCUUCUCCCUCACUCUUUCUAUGUCAUGCUUUCCUCCUAUUUUUUAUUUUUUGGUCUUUUCCUCUCCUUUUCCCUUCCCUUUGUUCUGUCAUUCCUUACUAAUUUCUGUCUUUGUUCUUUUUUAAAACUUCUUUUUCUUUCUUUUUUAAGUCCCUUCUUCUUUUCUUCUUUUUAUUUUUUUUCUCUGUCUUUCAUCUGUUUCUGUAACUUUUUCUUUAAUUUUUCUUUCCUUCCUUUUUCCUCUUUUGUUUCUCUUUCCAUUUUCUCAUCUUUGAGUCUUUUUUCUUUUUUUAUUCUUUCUUUUAUUUAUUCUUUGUCUUUGCCUUUUUCUUAAUUUUUAUUUAAUUUUCUUUUUUGUUUUGUAUUUUUACUUGUCCUUCUCUGUUUCUUUUAUCUGCUCUCUAUCUUCAUGUUUUUUUUGUUCUUUUGUCUAUUUUAUUUCUGCUGUUCUGCAUUAAAUGAUUGUCUCUUCCUUUUUACAUCUCUGUCUUUAUCUGUGUUUUCUUAUACGAUCUUUUAUCUCUACUUUUUAGUCUGUAGAAUAUCUUGUCAAUUUUGUAUCAGGUCAUGUGCAAAAUCUCCUCUUUCUAAAUAUUUUUGGAUUGUUUUUUAUGCUGAAUCUUUUUUCUUUCUUGUAGAUUCUUUGAAAUCUUUUAUGAAUUCCUAAAACUAAGAUGUAAUUUUGACAAUCCAGCAUUUGCAGUCAGUGUCACAUCGCAAAAAGAUCUAGUUCAGUGUUUCAUGAUGAUGAUAGCACACCCAGGUUAUUCAAAGACUCACACUAAACCACAUUGAUCCAGGAUCAAUAGGCGGCCUGAUCAAACACAGCAGAGAUCAUGCUUUGAUCAUGCAUUACUGACUCCUGGUGGUUAGUGGAUACCUGUGGUUGGGGAGUUACAGUUAAUAUGAAUACGAAACCAUCAAUAAAACCUGACAACCACUUUUAAACAGACAACAGCGCUUUUAUGAGCGAGACGAGAUUUUCUAUGUAUAUUCCUGACAGGCUGAGCAGCUCGGUGUGUUUUUGCCGAGAGACAUUUAUUACAAUAAUCUGAACACAAAUUGAUAAAAAGCCCAAAUGGCCUUCUGGAGAGUAAGGUCAGGAGUGAAGUGUACGUUUUCUGAGAUGCUCCUCAGAAAGUCGAUAAAAACAUUAUUGAACUAUUUUUGUGACUUGUUUUUCAACUGAAAGGUCACCGUCGAAUAUUACACCUCACUUUCUGUCAGCAGGAUUGACAUUUGUAGACAUGGAGCCAUGAGGUUUUUGUUAUUUGGAUGGCCGGAAAGCCGAUAUCAGAUAUCUUUUCGUUCAGCUGAAGUGGGACAUGAGAAAUCCAACUCUGUCCUUCUUCAUUGGUUUGUGAUCUUUUCUCUCCAAACACCAAGUUGACACUUUUUUCCCUUCCCUUCACAAUGUCGGCUUGUUUGCACAAAUUCAAACAACAGCAAAUGAGCAUGUUUUUUUACCAAUGAUUAAACCUCCUCAUGAAGUAAAUGUGAACUAAUGAAACUGCCUCGUCUGUUCCUGUCAGAUACACCUGGGGAAUCCCCAUCUGCUGAGCUUCCUGAUCAAGGAGCGCCGGUCUCGCUCAGGAGACAGGUGAACUGUUGGAAAGUCGUCCUGCUGAGAGACCUUCUGUCGGCACUGACAGGAUCAGGAAAAAGCACGUUCCUGCAUUUGUCGUAAUGACAGGCUUCAAAUCUAUCAUGCAGAUUGACAUUUUGUACACAUUGUCCCACCUGUAGUAGAAAUGAACUGGAAUUUUUCUUGACAGUGCUUAAGAAGACAUUUUUUCAUACUGAGACUGUUGGAUGAACUUUUAAAGAUUAUUUAAUGGGACAUGCAAAACAUUCAACGUUGGACCAAAACACAUUUUUUGGGUUUGCCUUGUACCUUUGAACUUGCAGAGUGGUAGAGGGGAAUCAUUUCGAGUAGUCACAUUAAAUAUUUGGCUAUGUGGGUUCAAUUAAACAAAAUUUAUAUUGUUCAAUAAAUAAUUCCAGUUCGAUGUUCUGCUGUGAGUCUCCAGAUGAAAUUGGUUUUGCCUUUGAAAGUGGAAAAUGUCCAAAAACGGUGCCAAGAGGUGUAGGCUGGAUUAUCUGAAGUUUAAGUCAUGAGCUUUUAGUGUUGGGUGGUAUGACGGUAUAUACUGUGUGACAGUAUAAAAGUGUCUACUGAUAGAAAUUUUGCGAUACCAUUUAUACCGGAGAAAGAAAGCAGAUGUCUGCUGCAUCUCUCUGAGUCAGUGUGUGGUAGUCUACGCUCGCUAACAGGAAAGCCAGAGCGCAUCUGUUUGGGUGCAUUUCCGUAUAUUCACCAGCAUGUCGUGUGGAGUUUGUUCACUCCAUUUGAUUGGUCAGGUUUGGGUGCACUCCCUAUAACCAC
rnacentral:lncRNA from 1 species